GAUGAACGCUGGCGGCGUGCCUAAUACAUGCAAGUCGAGCGAACAGACGAGGAGCUUGCUCCUCUGACGUUAGCGGCGGACGGGUGAGUAACACGUGGAUAACCUACCUAUAAGACUGGGAUAACUUCGGGAAACCGGAGCUAAUACCGGAUAAUAUAUUGAACCGCAUGGUUCAAUAGUGAAAGACGGUUUUGCUGUCACUUAUAGAUGGAUCCGCGCCGCAUUAGCUAGUUGGUAAGGUAACGGCUUACCAAGGCGACGAUGCGUAGCCGACCGGAGAGAGUGAUCGGCCACACUGGAACUGAGACACGGUCCAGACUCCUACGGGAGGCAGCAGUAGGGAAUCUUCCGCAAUGGGCGAAAGCUUGACGGAGCAACGCCGCGUGAGUGAUGAAGGUCUUCGGAUCGUAAAACUCUGUUAUGAGGGAAGAACAAAUGUGUAAGUAACUAUGCACGUCUUGACGGUACCUAAUCAGAAAGCCACGGCUAACUACGUG
rnacentral:rRNA from 1 species